rnacentral:rRNA from 1 species
GGCGAGUGAAGCGGCAACAGCUCAAAUUUGAAAUCUGGCCUUCCGGGCCCGAGUUGUAAUUUGUAGAGGGAGUUUCGGAGGCGGCACCGGCCUAAGUUCCUUGGAACAGGGCGUCAUAGAGGGUGAGAAUCCCGUACGUGGCCGGUGAUCAAUUCCGUGUGAAACCCCUUCGACGAGUCGAGUUGUUUGGGAAUGCAGCUCAAAAUGGGUGGUAAAUUUCAUCUAAAGCUAAAUAUUGGCCAGAGACCGAUAGCGCACAAGUAGAGUGAUCGAAAGAUGAAAAGCACUUUGGAAAGAGAGUUAAAAAGUACGUGAAAUUGUUGAAAGGGAAGCGCUUGCAAUCAGACUUGCUCGCGGGUGAUCAGCCUUCCUUCGGGGGGGUGCACUCGCCCGCGAUCAGGCCAGCAUCGGUUUUGGCGGGCGGAUAAAGGCCCCAGGAAUGUAACUCCCCUCGGGGAGUGUUAUAGCCUGGGGUGCAAUGCGCCCAGCCGGGACCGAGGACCGCGCUUCGGCUAGGAUGCUGGCGUAAUGGUUGUAAGCGACCCGUCUUGAAACACGGACCAAGGAGUCUAACAUCUGUGCGAGUGUUUGGGUGUCAAGCCCAUGCGCGGAAUGAAAGUGAACGGAGGUGGGAGCCCUUUCGGGGGCGCACCAUCGACCGAUCCUGAUGUUUUCGGAUGGAUUUGAGUAGGAGCAUAGCUGUUGGGACCCGAAAGAUGGUGAACUAUGCGUGAAUAGGGUGAAGCCAGAGGAAACUCUGGUGGAGGCUCGCAGCGGUUCUGACGUGCAAAUCGAUCGUCAAAUUUGCGUAUAGGGGCGAAAGGUCAGUCGAACAUUCCUCCACUCCAUUCAUCGGGACCGCCAAUACUAACAUACUUGCAGACUAAUCGAACCAUCUAGUAAAUCGCUACUAGAGACACAACAACCAGGGGCUCUUUUGCCCCAGUAGUCCCUAAAUA